rnacentral:rRNA from 1 species
CGUAGGGGGCAAGCGUUGUCCGGAUUUACUGGGCGUAAAGAGCGUGUAGGCGGCCAAACAGGUCCGUUGUGAAAACUGGAAGCUCAACUUCCAGACGUCGACGGAAACCGUGUGGCUAGAGUCCGGAAGAGGAGAGUGGAAUUCCUGGUGUAGCGGUGAAAUGCGCAGAUAUCAGGAAGAACACCAAUGGCGAAGGCAGCUCUCUGGGACGGUACUGACGCUGAGACGCGAAAGCGUGGGGAGCGAACAGGAUUAGAUACCCUGGUAGUCCACGCCGUAAACGAUGGGUGCUAGGUGUGGGAGGUGUCGACUCCUUCCGUGCCGUAGCUAACGCAUUAAACAUUCCGCCUGGGGAGUACGGUCGCAAGAUUA